GACAACGUGGCCGAGCGGUUAAGGCGAUUGACUAGAAUCUGUUUCUAAGACAUCUGUGUCUAUCAUCAAUUGGAGUUUCUCCGCGUAGGUUCAAAUCCUGCCGUUGUCG
rfam:Puccinia graminis f. sp. tritici CRL 75-36-700-3 supercont2.75 genomic scaffold, whole genome shotgun sequence.